AGUGAACGCUGGCGGUAGGCCUAACACAUGCAAGUCGAACGGCAGCACAGAGGAGCUUGCUCCUUGGGUGGCGAGUGGCGGACGGGUGAGGAAUACAUCGGAAUCUACUCUGUCGUGGGGGAUAACGUAGGGAAACUUACGCUAAUACCGCAUAAGACCUACGGGUGAAAGCAGGGGACCUUCGGGCCUGGCGCGAUUGAAUGAGCCGAUGUCGGAUUAGCUAGUUGGCGGGGUAAAGGCCCACCAAGGCGACGAUCCGUAGCUGGUCUGAGAGGAUGAUCAGCCACACUGGAACUGAGACACGGUCCAGACUCCUACGGGAGGCAGCAGUGGGGAAUAUUGGACAAUGGGCGCAAGCCUGAUCCAGCCAUACCGCGUGGGUGAAGAAGGCCUUCGGGUUGUAAAGCCCUUUUGUUGGGAAAGAAAUCCAGCUGGCUAAUACCCGGUUGGGAUGACGGUACCCAAAGAAUAAGCACCGGCUAACUUCGUGCCAGCCGCCGCGGUAAGAC
rnacentral:rRNA from 1 species